GCCAGGUGUGGUGGUGCACACCUGUAAUCCCAGCUACUCAGGAGGCUGAGGCAGGAGAAUUGCUUGAAUCUGGAAGACAGAGGUUGCAGUGAGCUGAGAUCAUGCCACUGAACUCCAGCCUGGGUGACAGAGCGAGACUCUGUCUCAA
rnacentral:SRP_RNA from 1 species